rnacentral:rRNA from 1 species
CACGUAGGGUGCGAGCGUUGUCCGGAAUUAUUGGGCGUAAAGAGCUCGUAGGCGGUGUGUCGCGUCGGCCGUGAAAACCUGCAGCUUAACUGUGGGCGUGCGGUCGAUACGGGCAUCACUGGAGUUCGGCAGGGGAGACUGGAAUUCCUGGUGUAGCGGUGAAAUGCGCAGAUAUCGGGAGGAACACCAACGGCGAAAGCAGGUACCUGGACUAUUACUGACGCUCAGCUGCGAAAGCUAGGGGAGCAAACAGG